AAUUUUGGGGUAAAUCCACCCGGAAUUGGCUCAUCCCGGAACGGAGCCGGAGCUGGAUUUGGCAGAUGGGAAUGUUGGGAAUACUGGGAAUGCUCCCCAGUGCUGGGGAUACUGGGAAUACUGGGAAUACUGGGAAUGCUCCAGGACAUCGGAUACUGGGAAAGCUCUCCCCAAAUGCUUGGAAUACUGGGAACACUGGGAAUGCUCCAGAACAUCGGACACUGGGAAAGCUCUCCCCAAAUGCUGGGAAUACUGGGAACACUGGGAAUGAUCCAGAACAUCGGAUACUGGGAAAGCUCUCCCCAAACGCUGGGAAUACUGGGAACACUGGGAAUGAUCCAGAACAUUGGAUACUGGGAAUGCUGGGAAUGAUCCAGAACAUCGGAUACUGGGAAAGCUCUCCCCAAACGCUGGGAAUACUGGGAAUACUGGGAAUGCUCCCCAGUGGCAGGAACAUCAGGAAUACUGGGGGUGGGAUCUAGCACCGCCCCUGCCCCAUGGAUGGGGGAUCAACCCCACACCAGCCCCAUAG
rnacentral:lncRNA from 1 species